rnacentral:rRNA from 1 species
GGCGAACGCUGGCGGCGUGCUUAACACAUGCAAGUCGAACGGAAAGGCCCUGCUUUUGUGGGGUGCUCGAGUGGCGAACGGGUGAGUAACACGUGAGUAACCUGCCCUUGACUUUGGGAUAACUUCAGGAAACUGGGGCUAAUACCGGAUAGGAGCUCCUGCUGCAUGGUGGGGGUUGGAAAGUUUCGGCGGUUGGGGAUGGACUCGCGGCUUAUCAGCUUGUUGGUGGGGUAGUGGCUUACCAAGGCUUUGGCGGGUAGCCGGCCUGAGAGGGUGACCGGCCACAUUGGGACUGAGAUACGGCCCAGACUCCUACGGGAGGCAGCAGUGGGGAAUAUUGCACAAUGGGCGGAAGCCUGAUGCAGCAACGCCGCGUGCGGGAUGACGGCCUUCGGGUUGUAAACCGCUUUCGCCUGUGACGAAGCGUGAGUGACGGUAAUGGGUAAAGAAGCACCGGCUAACUACGUG